UAUAGCUCAGUGGCAGAGUGCAUGCUUAGCAUGCAUGAGGUUCUGUGUUCAAUCCCCAGUA
rnacentral:tRNA from 1 species